GUUAGGAAUAUUCGACAAUGGGGGAAACCCUGAUCGAGCAAUGCCGCGUGAAGGAUGAAGGUCUUAUGGAUUGUAAACUUCUGUUGUUAGGGAAGAAUGACCUAUAUAGGAAAUGAUAUAGGAGUGACGGUACCUUUCAAGAAAGCUCCGGCUAACUACGUGCCAGCAGCCGCGGUAAUACGUAGGGAGCAAGCGUUAUCCGGAUUUAUUGGGUGUAAAGGGUGCGUAGGCGGCUAGAUAGGUCUAUGGUUUAAGCCCGAGGCUUAACCUCGGUUCGCCAUAGAAACCGUCUGGCUUGAGUAUGGUAGAGGCAAGUGGAAUUUCUAGUGUAGCGGUAAAAUGCGUAGAUAUUAGAAGGAACACCAGUGGCGAAGGCGACUUGCUGGGCCAUUACUGACGCUGAGGCACGAAAGCGUGGGGAGCAAAUAGGA
rnacentral:rRNA from 1 species